UAAAAGGCGAAGAAGAGAAGAGUAGGCGGCAGGCGCUUUUACAGAGAGUCCAGGUUGGUGAGAAUGGAUGAAGUAAAUGCAGCUGAACAUGGUCUUGGAGCUGCGCACCGAAAACCUGUGGGUUCAGGCUGCGACGGAAGCACCCGUUAGCGUGAUAUACUAUCGAUGAAUCAUUUCUCAUCCGUAGUUGAUAAGGUCUGCGCCGUGAGGCUCAGGCGAAUUUGGGGUGGUAACACGAAGCGAAGCUCUCGUCCCCGAA
rnacentral:ncRNA from 1 species